CCGAGUGUUUGGUACGUAGGUAUCUUCCUUCCCCGGGCGCAGGGUUCCUGGCUUCUUCAUUUACUCCUCUUGAGACUUGAGGGCUUUGGGCGGGUUGGACACAGUCGUGUGGAAGAAAAUCAGUAAAUGCGAGCUCUCCCUCGGGAGGCAGGAUACUGUUGCGCGGGGCCCGAUUGUCCUCCUAACGCUCGCAGUGAGUUUGGCUGAGCCUUUCUCCGGGUGCAGUGUACCCGCUGCACCGGGAUGGAGGCCCCGUUCAUUCCACCAACGUUAACUGACAGCUCACGGUGCACCAAUUACUAAUCCAGUCACUGUGCGCAUAAUUCCCUCUGGGGGGAGAGGUCCGGCCACAGAACCUAGGAAAGUAGAAGGAAGUUCUUCCUCCCCUACAACCUUCAGAUGCAAAUCUCAGGUAUUCUGGGACGCCACCCCCGUCGUGCCAAUGGCUGCACUUGCCACCACUGGAACAAAGUCCAGGCAGCUCACAGGCUGAGAAGAAAAAGGAGGCAACCUCUCCAAGAGAGGCAGGGGCAGAGCAUUCUGCCCAACACUUAGUGACUGACACCCUCGGGCCUUGAAUAACCGAAAUAAAGAAGCAAACCUAGAAAUCACUAUUUGCUUUUGCCCAGCAAUUUGUGACUUUAAAAAUGUCUUCUGCCUCAUGGCGACUCUGUGGGACAGAAAGAGCUGUGGUCUUCUCACCUGACAGAUCAGGAAACUGAAACCUGACCCAGCACAGACUAGCCCUGGUGCCACCGACCUGCGGGAGAACCCUGAGGCCUUCCUCACAGUCCUCCGUCCUUUCCACGAAAUCACACUGGUACUUAGACCAAAUCGUGUCUUUCCGUCAGAGAAAAUGGGCUUCCUUGGCGUUGGUAACCUUUCCAGGUUCUACCUUUCCUAAGGUUCAUCCCCUGAAUUCCAAGAAACCAGGGGCGGAACUGAGAAGAGAGGACCCGGAUGUUACCUGCGUGGGGUGUCACAUAGCACUGAAAAUCGCUGGGACACAACCGGAGACCCGAGCUCAAGCCCUGUCUAGAACAUUCCUUCCCAGGGACUGUCAUUUCUUUCUGGUUCUCCAGCCUGAGUCCCAAUCUUGUGCACCUUCCACCACCCAUUCUCCUUUCCAGAUGCUUCCCAUCCCAAUAGUGAUCUUCAUCACUUUUUGGAGUUCAAUUAGGUGAAGAAGGCUUUUCUUCCGGGAGACAGUCUCCUUUUAAUUUCACGAAGAAAGAGGUCUCUUUGCAAAACCCUUUUCCCUAGAGAGGUAUUGUUCUCCUGGCCUUCCACUCCAGGGAGGAAGGACCGGAGGUGUGCAGACCUCGUGACCGACUUUGGGACGGGAGAUGACAUUCCACCUCAGCAAAUGGGCUCCUUCCUAGCUAAAGGGGGAACGAUACUGGCACCGUCCUUUCCGGGGUUACUGCGAGGACUAAACAAAAUAAUGAAUAAGGGCAUGAAACAGGGUGGCCGCUCAGGAAAUGGCAGCUCUGGCUAUUCUCUCUCGCCCAGAGUUCGGAUCCUAGGACUCUCCCAAGCAAGGAGAGGGAGGAGGGCGCACCCUCGGCAAAGAUAAGGCUGGAGAGGGCUCGGGGUACUCAGCAGCCCCGAAGCCACGGCUGAUGCCCAGGAUGAGCUUUGCAAAGGGAAGGAACUUUCCUUUUGAGCCCAUUUUUUUCAACCUGGGGCAAACCACGGGUCACCACGGCUUCCACCCUCCCCGCAGUCCCGGUCGCCCGUGCGCACGGCUCCCGUGGCGGCCUCGGACCCAGCCACGGUCUCUCACCUUCGUCAUGUCUGCGGCGAAGGAACCUCGACUCCAGA